rnacentral:rRNA from 1 species
UACGAAGGGGGCUAGCGUUGUUCGGAAUUACUGGGCGUAAAGCGCGCGUAGGCGGAUAUUUAAGUCAGGGGUGAAAUCCCAGGGCUCAACCCUGGAACUGCCUUUGAUACUGGAUAUCUGGAGUUCGGGAGAGGUGAGUGGAAUUCCGAGUGUAGAGGUGAAAUUCGUAGAUAUUCGGAAGAACACCAGUGGCGAAGGCGACUGACUGGACAUGGUAUUGACGCUGAGGUGCGAAAGCGUGGGGAGCAAACAGGG